GUGGGGAAUAUUGGACAAUGGGCGAAAGCCUGAUCCAGCCAUGUCGCGUGUGUGAAGAAGGUCUUCGGAUUGUAAAGCACUUUAAGUUGGGAGGAAGGGCAGUAAGUUAAUACCUUGCUGUUUUGACGUUACCGACAGAAUAAGCACCGGCUAACUUCGUGCCAGCAGCCGCGGUAAUACGAAGGGUGCAAGCGUUAAUCGGAAUUACUGGGCGUAAAGCGCGCGUAGGUGGUUUUGUAAGUUGGAGGUGAAAUCCCCGGGCUCAACCUGGGAACUGCCUCCAAAACUUCAUGACUAGAGUACGGUAGAGGGUAGUGGAAUUUCCUGUGUAGCGGUGAAAUGCGUAGAUAUAGGAAGGAACACCAGUGGCGAAGGCGACUACCUGGACUGAUACUGACACUGAGGUGCGAAAGCGUGGGGAGCAAACAGGAUUAGAAACCCUAGUAGUCC
rnacentral:rRNA from 1 species